AUUCUCCCUUAUAAGAUUUGAAGAAGUAACAGGACUCCUAAUAAGGAAAUACAGAAGUAGGCAAAGUAAUGUAAUAGUAGUAAUUGGCAUAAACCUGAAUAGGCAUACUACAGGAAUAGGCAUACCACUGGAAUAGGCAUACUACAAGAAAUAAGCAUACUACAGGAAUAGGCAUACUGCUGGAAUUGGCAUACUUCAGGAAUAGGCAUGCUACUGGAAUAGGCAUACUGCUGGAAUUGGCAUACUACAGGAAUAGGCAUGCUACUGGAAUAGGCAUACUGCUGGAAUUGGCAUACUACAGGAAUAGACAUGCUACUGGAAUGGGUAUACUACAGGAAUAGGCAUGCUACAUGAAUAGGCAUACUACACGAAUAGGCAUGCUACAGGAAAAGGCAUACUACAGGAAUAGGUAUAUUACUGGAAUAGGCA